rnacentral:rRNA from 1 species
AUGGAACUUGUUGAGCUUCAGGCGGUCAGACUUGCACUGGCCGCGCCCCCGGCGCCCGCUGCUGACGUAGACGGACAAGGGCACGCCCGGGAAUGUCGUCGGCGUGGCCCUCACCCCGGGGAUCGUAAUCGGCUUGGGGUCGUUGGUGUUGAAGCCGCACGCGGCGAUCUCGAAGGGGUAGAGGAAGGCUCGGCAGAGGCGGCCGCGCGCGGGGGCCGGGAGGAGGAGGCGGGCGUGCCCCAGGUUCAUGUCGGACCGGCACAGGACCUUCUCCCCGAUGUAGCACAGCGGCAGGUCCCUGGGCAGGCGAUGUUUGUGCUGGAGCUGGUCGCGCACCCACGCCCGCACCAUGUCGGCCCUCCGCCUCGACUGGCGUGCGCCGCUGCCUGCCCAGGGGAGCCACGGGAUCCCGUCGUCCGGCGGCAGCAUCUGCAGGGGGAGAUAGCACAGACCCGGUUGGGCCAGCGCGGUAGAGUCGACGCUGCCGGCCGGGACGAUCUGCCCGGCCUCGCCCUGCGGCUCGUCGUCCAGCGUUGCCAAAACCCCGACCUGGGUUACCCCGCCGUCCCCGGCCGCGGGGCCCUCGUACACAACGACGGCCCCCAUCUCGACGCCCGCGACCGCAACGCCCUCGGUCACCGCGGGCGGCACCGGCACGCCGUCCCCGGCCGCGGGGCCCUCGUAGACGACGAGGGCCCUCGUCUCCACGUCCGCGACCGCAGCGCCUGUUGGCGCCGCCUCACCUCGCAGCGCCACUUCUACUUCUUCUACCCCGAGCUGCCUCACACAACUCUCUACUUCUCUCAUGAACACACACACAUCCACAUGGUGAAAACCUCUGCACACACACACACACGCAUACACCAAGGAGAAGCACAAGAGCUUUGCCAAGUCACUCUCUCCUUGAUGAAUACAUUGGCUACAUCUUUGGUGCUCAGCCCUCACGGCCUCCAUUUCUCAUUGACUCAAAGUAGCACAUAUAUACAGGAGAUCAGCCUCAUGCCCGCACUAACUAGCCGGACCUCUCGGCCACUAACACCACGACUCUAA